rnacentral:rRNA from 1 species
GACGAACCGUGCGAACGUUGUUCGGAAUCACUGGGCUUAAAGGGCGCGUAGGCGGGCUGCCAAGUCCGUGGUGAAAUCUUUCGGCUUAACCGGAAAGUGCCUUGGAUACUGGCGGUCUCGAGGGAGGUAGGGGUAUGUGGAACUUCCGGUGGAGCGGUGAAAUGCGUUGAUAUCGGAAGGAACGCCGGUGGCGAAAGCGACGUACUGGACCUCUUCUGACGCUGAGGCGCGAAAGCUAGGGGAGCGAACGGGAUUAGAAACCCCAGUAGU